AGUGAACGCUGGCGGUAGGCCUAACACAUGCAAGUCGAACGGCAGCACAGUAAGAGCUUGCUCUUACGGGUGGCGAGUGGCGGACGGGUGAGGAAUACAUCGGAAUCUACUUUUUCGUGGGGGAUAACGUAGGGAAACUUACGCUAAUACCGCAUACGACCUACGGUUGAAAGCAGGGGAUCUUCGGACCUUGCGCGAUUGAAUGAGCCGAUGUCGGAUUAGCUAGUUGGCGGGGUAAAGGCCCACCAAGGCGACGAUCCGUAGCUGGUCUGAGAGGAUGAUCAGCCACACUGGAACUGAGACACGGUCCAGACUCCUACGGGAGGCAGCAGUGGGGAAUAUUGGACAAUGGGCGCAAGCCUGAUCCAGCCAUACUGCGUGGGUGAAGAAGGCCUUCGGGUUGUAAAGCCCUUUUGUUGGGAAAGAAAAGCAGCAGGUUAAUACCCAGCUGUUCUGACGGUACCCAAAGAAUAAGCACCGGCUAACUUCGUG
rnacentral:rRNA from 1 species